rnacentral:lncRNA from 1 species
AGGAGAUAGCUUCAUGGAAGAUCGGACCUUUAUGGAAGUUUGCUUAUAGGAUUGAAGACGAAGGAAAACCCAAUCACCCAUAGUAAAUUCUUGUUCACUUCGGUGUAUAUCAGCUUAUUGUUUCAUUCUUGCUUAUGCGGCUGUGAGGUUAUCCUUUAAAAGCUGAAUAAUCUUAUUUCUAUCCAUCAAUUCCUUGUCCACUUGAUCAACUUUAG